GACGAACGCUGGCGGCGUGCCUAAUACAUGCAAGUAGGACGCUGAAGGAGGAGCUUGCUUCUCUGGAUGAGUUGCGAACGGGUGAGUAACGCGUAGGUAACCUGCCUGGUAGCGGGGGAUAACUAUUGGAAACGAUAGCUAAUACCGCAUAAUAUUGACUAUUGCAUGAUAGUCAGUUGAAAGGUGCAACUGCACCACUACCAGAUGGACCUGCGUUGUAUUAGCUAGUUGGUGGGGUAACGGCUCACCAAGGCGACGAUACAUAGCCGACCUGAGAGGGUGAUCGGCCACACUGGGACUGAGACACGGCCCAGACUCCUACGGGAGGCAGCAGUAGGGAAUCUUCGGCAAUGGACGGAAGUCUGACCGAGCAACGCCGCGUGAGUGAAGAAGGUUUUCGGAUCGUAAAGCUCUGUUGUAAGAGAAGAACGAGUGUGAGAGUGGAAAGCUCACACUGUGACGGUAUCUUACCAGAAAGGGACGGCUAACUACGUG
rnacentral:rRNA from 1 species